rnacentral:rRNA from 1 species
CAGUAGGGAGGAAGGUAGUGUAGUUAACACCUGCACUAUUUGACGUUACCUACAGAAGAAGCACCGGCUAACUCCGUGCCAGCAGCCGCGGUAAUACGGAGGGUGCGAGCGUUAAUCGGAAUUACUGGGCGUAAAGCGCAUGCAGGCGGCCUGUUAAGUCAGAUGUGAAAGCCCGGGGACCGUUAACCUACGGUAAGUUGCAUUUAGUAAACUAGGCAGGCUAGAGUCUUGUAGAGGGGGUAGGAAUUUCAGGUGUAGCGGUGAAAUGCGUAGAGAUCUGAAGGAAUACCAGUGGCGAAGGCGGCCCCCUGGACAAAGACUGACGCUCAGAUGCGAAAGCGUGGGGAGCAAACAGGAUUAGAUACCCUGGUAG